GUGCUUGCUUCGGCAUCACAUAUAGUAAAAUUGGAACAAUACAGAGAAGAUGAACAUGGCUUCUGCUCAAGGAU
ensembl:snRNA U6 U6 spliceosomal RNA